rnacentral:tRNA from 1 species
AAGAUUUUAAGUUAAAAUUAAACUAAUAAUUUUCAAAAUUAUAAAUAAAGAAUUAAUCUUUAAGUCUUA